GUGCUCGCUUCAGCAGCACAUAUACUAAAAUUGGAAUGAUACACAGAAGAUUAUCAUGGCCUCCGCACAAGGAUGACAUGCAAAUUCAUGAAGUGUUCCAUAUUUUU
ensembl:snRNA U6 U6 spliceosomal RNA